GACGAACGCUGGCGGCGUGCUUAACACAUGCAAGUCGAACGGAAAGGCCCUGCUUUUGUGGGGUGCUCGAGUGGCGAACGGGUGAGUAACACGUGAGUAACCUGCCCUUGACUUUGGGAUAACUUCAGGAAACUGGGGCGAAUACCGGAGAGGAGCUCCUGCUGCACGGUGGGGGAUGGAAAGUUUCGGCGGUUGGGGAUGGACUCGCGGCUUAUCAGCUUGUUGGGGGGGUAGUGGCUUACCAAGGCUUUGACGGGUAGCCGGCCUGAGAGGGUGAGCGGCCACAUUGGGACUGCGAUGCGGCCCAGACUCCUACGGGAGGCAGCAGUGGGGAAUAUUGCGCAAUGGGCGGAAGCCUGAUGCAGCAACGCCGCGUGCGGGAUGACGGCCUUCGGGUUGUAAACCGCUUUCGCCUGUGACGAAGCGUGAGUGACGGUAAUGGGUAAAGAAGCACCGGCUAACUACGUG
rnacentral:rRNA from 1 species